AUGGCUAGCGUCAGGAAAUUUGUAAAUGGUGGAGCAAGUCUGGAGGGCAACCUACCACUGCUGCAGACAUGGUACUACGAGAAGUGGAGGGUGCACCAAUUGGACUCUACCAUCUCGUAUGCAUCAAGGUUAAGGCCGCUGAUCCAAAACUGGAGUGACGAGAAGGCACAGAAGGUUGACAACAUAAUCAACAAAAAUUAUAUAGGGGUUGGAGAGUAUGUCGAUGACCUGCUGCGGCCCUUCAAUACGCCACUAGUUGGGACGCCGGUCAAACCAAAGAAUGACGGCCAGGAUAAGGCACUCAUGGGCCGUGUAUUGGCUGAUUUGAAAGAAGUUGUCUCCAUUGUGCGGGAGGCCAGUGCACAACAAUUUGAUAGGAUGUGCACCCUUGAAAGAAAAAUGGACGAGUGCCUUAGGCGUACCCUUGCGAACGGUAGACGCACGGACGGCCUCAUCACAGAAUUCAAUAACCACCGAAAUAUUUGA
rnacentral:rRNA from 1 species